UUAAGCGACUAAGCGUACACGGUGGAUGCCCUGGCAGUCAGAGGCGAUGAAGGACGUGCUAAUCUGCGAAAAGCGCCGGCGAGGUGAUAUGAACCCUUGACCCGGCGAUGUCCGAAUGGGGAAACCCAGUGCAAUCCGUUGCACUAUCGUUAACUGAAUACAUAGGUUAACGAGGCGAACCGGGGGAACUGAAACAUCUAAGUACCCCGAGGAAAAGAAAUCAACCGAGAUUCCCCCAGUAGCGGCGAGCGAACGGGGAGCAGCCCGGAGUCUGAAUCAGCUUGUGUGUUAGUGGAACGGUCUGGAAAGUCCGACGGUACAGGGUGAUAGUCCCGUACACGAAAGCACACUUGCUGUGAACUCGAAGAGUAGGGCGGGACACGUGGUAUCCUGUCUGAAUAUGGGGGGACCAUCCUCCAAGGCUAAAUACUCCUGACUGACCGAUAGUGAACCAGUACCGUGAGGGAAAGGCGAAAAGAACCCCGGCGAGGGGAGUGAAAAAGAACCUGAAACCGUGUACGUACAAGCAGUGGGAGCCUCUUUAUGGGGUGACUGCGUACCUUUUGUAUAAUGGGUCAGCGACUUAUAUUCUGUAGCAAGGUUAACCGUAUAGGGGAGCCGAAGGGAAACCGAGUCUUAACUGGGCGUUAAGUUGCAGGGUAUAGACCCGAAACCCGGUGAUCUAGCCAUGGGCAGGUUGAAGGUUGGGUAACACUAACUGGAGGACCGAACCGACUAAUGUUGAAAAAUUAGCGGAUGACCUGUGGCUGGGGGUGAAAGGCCAAUCAAACCGGGAGAUAGCUGGUUCUCCCCGAAAGCUAUUUAGGUAGCGCCUCGUGAACUCAUCUUCGGGGGUAGAGCACUGUUUCGGCUAGGGGGCCAUCCCGGCUUACCAACCCGAUGCAAACUACGAAUACCGAAGAAUGUUAUCACGGGAGACACACGGCGGGUGCUAACGUCCGUCGUGAAGAGGGAAACAACCCAGACCGCCAGCUAAGGUCCCAAAGUCAUGGUUAAGUGGGAAACGAUGUGGGAAGGCCCAGACAGCCAGGAUGUUGGCUUAGAAGCAGCCAUCAUUUAAAGAAAGCGUAAUAGCUCACUGGUCGAGUCGGCCUGCGCGGAAGAUGUAACGGGGCUAAACCAUGCACCGAAGCUGCGGCAGCGACACUAUGUGUUGUUGGGUAGGGGAGCGUUCUGUAAGCCGUUGAAGGUGUGCUGUGAGGCAUGCUGGAGGUAUCAGAAGUGCGAAUGCUGACAUAAGUAACGAUAAAGCGGGUGAAAAGCCCGCUCGCCGGAAGACCAAGGGUUCCUGUCCAACGUUAAUCGGGGCAGGGUGAGUCGACCCCUAAGGCGAGGCCGAAAGGCGUAGUCGAUGGGAAACAGGUUAAUAUUCCUGUACUUGGUGUUACUGCGAAGGGGGGACGGAGAAGGCUAUGUCAGCCGGGCGACGGUUGUCCCGGUUUAAGCAUGUAGGCGGAGGUUCCAGGUAAAUCCGGUACCUUUUAACGCUGAGGUGUGAUGACGAGGCACUACGGUGCUGAAGUGAUAAAUGCCCUGCUUCCAGGAAAAGCCUCUAAGCAUCAGGUAACACGAAAUCGUACCCCAAACCGACACAGGUGGUCAGGUAGAGAAUACCAAGGCGCUUGAGAGAACUCGGGUGAAGGAACUAGGCAAAAUGGUGCCGUAACUUCGGGAGAAGGCACGCUGAUGUGUAGGUGAAGCCCCUGCGGGCGGAGCUGAAAUCAGUCGAAGAUACCAGCUGGCUGCAACUGUUUAUUAAAAACACAGCACUGUGCAAACACGAAAGUGGACGUAUACGGUGUGACGCCUGCCCGGUGCCGGAAGGUUAAUUGAUGGGGUUAGCUGUAAGGCGAAGCUCUUGAUCGAAGCCCCGGUAAACGGCGGCCGUAACUAUAACGGUCCUAAGGUAGCGAAAUUCCUUGUCGGGU
rnacentral:rRNA from 1 species